rnacentral:snoRNA from 1 species
UGCAGCACCUUAUGCCCCCAGAUUGCUGUGGCAUGUGAGGCGCGUAUGUUGAAUAUCAUAUGUCUAGAACUCUGUGAUCUAAAA